UACGUAGGGUGCAAGCGUUAAUCGGAAUUACUGGGCGUAAAGCGUGCGCAGGCGGUGAUGUAAGACAGGUGUGAAAUCCCCGGGCUUAACCUGGGAACUGCAUUUGUGACUGCAUCGCUGGAGUGCGGCAGAGGGGGAUGGAAUUCCGCGUGUAGCAGUGAAAUGCGUAGAUAUGCGGAGGACACCGAUGGCGAAGGCAAUCCCCUGGGCCUGCACUGACGCUCAUGCACGAAAGCGUGGGGAGCAAACAGG
rnacentral:rRNA from 1 species